GAGUUUGAUCCUGGCUCAGGACGAACGCUGGCGGCGUGCUUAACACAUGCAAGUCGAGCGAUGAAGCUCCUUCGGGAGUGGAUUAGCGGCGGACGGGUGAGUAACACGUGGGUAACCUGCCUCAUAGAGGGGAAUAGCCUUUCGAAAGGAAGAUUAAUACCGCAUAAGAUUGUAGUACCGCAUGGUACAGCAAUUAAAGGAGUAAUCCGCUAUGAGAUGGACCCGCGUCGCAUUAGCUAGUUGGUGAGGUAACGGCUCACCAAGGCGACGAUGCGUAGCCGACCUGAGAGGGUAAUCGGCCACAUUGGGACUGAGACACGGCCCAGACUCCUACGGGAGGCAGCAGUGGGGAAUAUUGCACAAUGGGGGAAACCCUGAUGCAGCAACGCCGCGUGAGUGAUGACGGCCUUCGGGUUGUAAAACUCUGUCUUUGGGGACGAUAAUGACGGUACCCAAGGAGGAAGCCACGGCUAACUA
rnacentral:rRNA from 1 species